rnacentral:rRNA from 1 species
CAGUAGCCGCGGGAACACGUAGGGUGCGAGCGUUAAUCGGAAUUACUGGGUGUAAAGCGUGCGCAGGCGGUUUUGUAAGACAGGCGUGAAAUCCCCGGGCUCAACCUGGGAAUGGCGCUUGUGACUGCAAAGCUAGAGUGCGGCAGAGGGGGAUGGAAUUCCGCGUGUAGCAGUGAAAUGCGUAGAUAUGCGGAGGAACACCGAUGGCGAAGGCAAUCCCCUGGGCCUGCACUGACGCUCAUGCACGAAAGCGUGGGGAGCAAACAGGAUUAGAUACCCCGGUAGUCCCUGUCUCUUAUAC